rnacentral:lncRNA from 1 species
CAGGGAUUUGCACUACUGAAUUUUGUAGUAAAAUACUCCCCUGAACGACAGCGUUCUCUUCGUCCUCAUCAUGAUGCUUCUACAUUUACCAUAAACAUUGCACUUAAUAACGUGGGAGAAGACUUUCAGGGAGGUGGUUGCAAAUUUCUAAGGUACAAUUGCUCUAUUGAGUCACCACGAAAAGGCUGGAGCUUCAUGCAUCCUGGGAGACUCACACAUUUGCAUGAAGGACUUCCUGUUAAAAAUGGAACAAGAUACAUUGCAGUGUCAUUUAUAGAUCCCUAAGUUAUUUACUUUUCAUUGAAUUGAAAUUUAUUUUGGAUGAAUGACUGGCAUGAACACGUCUUUGAAGUUGUGGCUGAGAAGAUGAGAGGAAUAUUUAAAUAACAUCAACAGAACAACUUCACUUUGGGCCAAACAUUUGAAAAACUUUUUAUAAAAAAUUGUUUGAUAUUUCUUAAUGUCUGCUCUGAGCCUUAAAACACAGAUUGAAGAAGAAAAGAAAGAAAAAACUUAAAUAUUUAUUUCUAUGCUUUGUUGCCUCUGAGAAUAAUGACAAUUUAUGAAUUUGUGUUUCAAAUUGAUAAAAUAUUUAGGUACAAAUAACAAGACUAAUAAUAUUUUCUUAUUUAAAAAAAGCAUGGGAAGAUUUUUAUUUAUCAAAAUAUAGAGGAAAUGUAGACAAAAUGGAUAUAAAUGAAAAUUACCAUGUUGUAAAACCUUGAAAAUCAGAUUCUAACUGGAUUUGUAUGCAACUAAGU